rnacentral:misc_RNA from 1 species
AACGCACGAGACCUGCGGACCUGCGGAAGGAUCAUUAAUGAGAAACUGCCCCUCGCGGGUGGAUCUCCCACCCUUUGUAAACUUACCUUUGUUGCUUUGGCAGGCCCGUCUCCGGACCGCCGGCUUCGGCUGGCCAGUGCCUGCCAGAGGAUUCUAAAACUCUGUCUGUCAGUGUUGUCUGAGUCUAUAUACAAUCGUUAAAACUUUCAACAACGGAUCUCUAGAUCGGAAGAGCACACG